rnacentral:rRNA from 1 species
AUUGAACGCUGGCGGCAGGCCUAACACAUGCAAGUCGAGCGGCAGCGGGAAAGUAGCUUGCUACUUUUGCCGGCGAGCGGCGGACGGGUGAGUAAUGCCUGGGGAAUUGCCCAGUCGAGGGGGAUAACAGUUGGAAACGACUGCUAAUACCGCAUACGCCCUACGGGGGAAAGCAGGGGACCUUCGGGCCUUGCGCGGUUGGAUAUGCCCAGGUGGGAUUAGCUAGUUGGUGAGGUAAUGGCUCACCAAGGCGACGAUCCCUAGCUGGUCUGAGAGGAUGAUCAGCCACACUGGAACUGAGACACGGUCCAGACUCCUACGGGAGGCAGCAGUGGGGAAUAUUGCACAAUGGGGGAAACCCUGAUGCAGCCAUGCCGCGUGUGUGAAGAAGGCCUUCGGGUUGUAAAGCACUUUCAGCGAGGAGGAAAGGUCAGUAGCUAAUAUCUGCUGGCUGUGACGUUACUCGCAGAAGAAGCACCGGCUAACUCCGUGCCAGCCGCCGCAGUAAAAC